rnacentral:rRNA from 1 species
AUUUAUUAUAUAUUAAAUAUUAUUAUUUUUGAUUAAUUAUAUUAUUUUAAAAAAAGUAAUUAUAUAAAUUUAAAUUUUAAGUAAUUUUAUAAGAAUUUUAUAAAAAUUUUAUAAAUAAAGUAUUGAAAAAGAAUAUCAUUAAUAUUAUAAAAUAAAAUUUAAUUUAUUUUUACCUUUUGUAUCAGGGUUUAUUAAUUUAAAAUAUAAAAUUAUAUAAUCUCGAAAUAAAUUGAUUUAAUUAAUUAUAUUAAAUAAUGUAAAAUUAUUACUUUAAUAAUAAUUAAUUAGAAGUAAAAUGUUUUCAUAAUUUAUAAUAUCUAGUUAUUAUAUAAAUAAAUUUAAUUUAGUUAAAAUUUUUUUUAAAAUUUAUUAAUUUAUUAAUAAAUUUAUAAUUUUUAAUAAUAAUUUAAGGGAUAAACUUUAAAUUAAUUUUAAUAUAUUAAAUAAAUAUUUUAUUUUUAUACAAAUAUAAAUUUUGUUUAAUAAAUAAUUUGUAAUAAUUAAUAAAAUUAAUAUAUAAUUUAUUUUAUAUUUAUUUAUUUAUAUAAUUAUUUAUUUAAAUUAAUUUAAAUAAAUAAAUAAUGAUAAAAUUAGUAAAUAUUAAAUAAAAAUUAUUAUAUAAUUUAUUAGAUUAAUUUAAGGAAUUCGGCAAAUAAAUUUAUUCACCUGUUUAUUAAAAACAUGGUUUUUUGAUAUUUAUUUAAAAUCUAAUCUGCUCAAUGAAAAUUUAUUUAAAUAGCUGCAGUAUUUUGACUGUACAAAGGUAGCAUAAUCAUUUGUCUUUUUAUUAAAGUCUGGAAUGAAAGAUUGAAUGAAAUAAAAACUGUCUCAAAUUAAUUAUAUUAUUAAAAUUUAUUUUAAGUAAAAAUUCUUAAAUUUUAUAAAAAGACGAGAAGACCCUAUAGAAUUUUAUAAAUAAUUUAUAUUAUUUAUAAUAAAUAAUAAAUAAUAUUAAUUUAUUUAUUUUGUUGGGGUGACAAAAAAAUUAGUUUAAUUUUUUUAAUAUAUUUACAUUAUAAAUGAUUAUAUUAUCCAAUAUUAUUGAAUAUAUAUUAAAUUACCUUAGGGAUAACAGCGUUAAAUUUUUAGAGAGUUCAUAUUGAUAAAAAUUAUUGCGACCUCGAUGUUGAAUUAAAAUAAAUUAUUAUUGAAGAAAAUAAUAUAAUUAAGUCUGUUCGACUUUUAAAAUUUUACAUGAUUUGAGUUUAGAUCGGCGUGAGCCAGAUCGGAUUCUAUCUUUUAUUAUUUAAAAUAUUUUUGUACGAAAGGACUUUAUAUUUAUAAAAUUUAUUAAUUUAUUUUUGAAUAAAAUU